AGUGCAAUAGCUGGGUCAAAUAGAGGUCUCAUUCCAAGUUUUCUGAGGAAUUGCCAUACUGCUUUCCAUAAUGAUUGCAUCAAUUUGCAGUCCCACCAGCAAU
rnacentral:pre_miRNA from 1 species